rnacentral:rRNA from 1 species
UACAGAGGGUGCAAGCGUUGUUCGGAAUUAUUGGGCGUAAAGGGAGUGUAGGCUGUUUGUUAAGUCUUCUGUGAAAUCUACGGGCUUAGCCUGUAAAGUGCAGAGGAAACUAGCAGGCUUGAGUGUCAGAGAGGAUAGGGGAAUUCCCGGUGUAGAGGUGAAAUUCGUAGAGAUCGGGAGGAACACCAGUGGCGAAGGCGCCUAUCUGGCUGACAACUGACGCUGAGACUCGAAAGCAUGGGGAGCAAACAGG